UUCUACGUGAAAUAGCGCUUGAAACAAGUUCCUCGGAAAUUGAGAUUGAGGUGGAGUAAGUACGGAACUUACGAAAUAUGAAGAGAAAGGUGUACUUUCAGAGAACUGAUAGAUUUGCAGGUUCCAGGUCUCAAAAAUGUGGCUCGUGUGUUGGCUUUAAAACUAGAACCUUUCUUACUGCCUCCAACGACGAAAAAUUUUGCAAUCACUCAAAUACAGAAAUAUAUCAAUGAAAAUAAGGACAGAACUAAGAAGAGUGCAGCCCAUUAUAGUGGCUACGGCAUAGCUGCAUAAUAUAUUAUGU